rnacentral:rRNA from 1 species
UACGGGGGGGGCAAGCGUUGUUCGGAAUUAUUGGGCGUAAAGGGCGCGUAGGCGGUCUGCUAAGUUGGCUGUGAAAACUCUGGGCUUAACCCAGAGCCUGCAUUCAAUACUGACAGGCUAGAGUUCUGGAGGGGAUAGCGGAAUUCCUGGUGUAGCGGUGAAAUGCGUAGAUAUCGGGAGGAACACCAGUGGCGAAGGCGACUACCUGGCCUGUUAUUGACGCUGAGGCGCGAAAGCUAGGGGAGCAAACGGG